AUUGAACGCUGGCGGCAGGCUUAACACAUGCAAGUCGAGCGGGGGAGGUUGCUUCGGUAACUGACCUAGCGGCGGACGGGUGAGUAAUGCUUAGGAAUCUGCCUAUUAGUGGGGGACAACAUUCCGAAAGGGAUGCUAAUACCGCAUACGCCCUACGGGGGAAAGCAGGGGAUCUUCGGACCUUGCGCUAAUAGAUGAGCCUAAGCCGGAUUAGCUAGUUGGUGGGGUAAAGGCCUACCAAGGCGACGAUCUGUAGCGGGUCUGAGAGGAUGAUCCGCCACACUGGGACUGAAACACGGCCCAGACUCCUACGGGAGGCAGCAGUGGGGAAUAUUGGACAAUGGGCGGAAGCCUGAUCCAGCCAUGCCGCGUGUGUGAAGAAGGCCUUUUGGUUGUAAAGCACUUUAAGCGAGGAGGAGGCUCUUAAGGUUAAUACCCUUGAUGAGUGGACGUUACUCGCAGAAUAAGCACCGGCUAACUCUGUGCCAGCCGCCGCCGUAACAC
rnacentral:rRNA from 1 species